AAGUCGUAACAAGGUUUCCGUAGGUGAACCUGCGGAAGGAUCAUUACCGAGUUAGGGUUUGCCUUUUUAGGUGCCCGACCUCCCAACCCUUUGUCUAUGAUACCUAUUGUUGCUUCGGCGCGCCCGAGGGGUCGUACCCUCGCCUGGACUCGUGCCGGGAGCGUGGCCGCCGAUGGCCCAAUUUGAACUAUUGAACCCAAAACCUGUCGUCUGAAAACGUUAUGAUUUACAAUCAAAAACAAAACUUUCAACAACGGAUCUCUUGGUUCUGGCAUCGAUGAAGAACGCAGCGAAAUGCGAUAAGUAAUGCGAAUUGCAGAAUUUCCGUGAGUCAUCGAAUCUUUGAACGCACAUUGCGCCCACUGGUAUUCCGGUGGGCAUGCCUGUUCGAGCGUCAUUAUCCUCUCUCCCAACCUCUGGUCGGGGCGUUGGAUCGAGUUGUGGGUCUCGUCCGCAACUGGUCUCAAAGACAAUGACGGCGUCCGUGGGACCCUCUUCGCAACGAGUCUUUCGAGGCACGCGGGGAGUUGCAAGGUCUCGUCGGGUCGGUCGACACCUUUAUUUUUUCUAGGUUGACCUCGGAUCAGGUAGGAAUACCCGCUGAACUUAA
rnacentral:rRNA from 1 species